GUUUAUUGAUCUGUGGGGCCAUGUCUGGGUGUCGGGCUUGUUUUCUGGACUUUGGUUUCAGCUGCAUUCCUGACUUCUGAAAGAGUAGGGGGUGUGGAUUUCUACUAGGAGUAACCACUGGGAAGGAAGUAAUGUUCAUUAAGUGUGCAGGCAGUGCAGGACUAAGCAUGCUCAGUGAAAAAGCUUUUCUCCCUUGCCUGUCAAGCCCCGUGUUUGAACUCAUUCCAGAAUGCCGGAUUUACUUUUCAUGAAGAAGCAGUACCUGGCCAGACCGCAUUUUUCUCUCUCUCCUUGGUCAUGGGAAGAUUGGAAACAAUAUUCUUUUGAUGCUCAGUGCACUCAGCCUGCGUGCGUGUGCGGCUGUUGCAGUGGAGGAGGAGGAGGAGGACAAACUUUGCUACCUGUGAGACGAAGGCUGGUAGCACUGGAAAUGAAAAGAGUUCCAUUUACGAUGUUGUUCUCAGGCUCUGUAAAUGAAUGUCUUGAUGACUUCAUUGGGAAUUCCUCAUGGACAAGAAGGAGAAAGGGUCAUCUGAGUUCUCCUGAAGAUGGGAGGCAGGGCCAGAGAGGCCCCAGCAACGUUCCUAAGGCACAGAAUGUCACCUGCUGCCUCUUCUCCUACAGUUCCACACCAAGUUUCAGGUGA
rnacentral:lncRNA from 1 species